rnacentral:rRNA from 1 species
UGGUCUGAGAGGAUGAUCAGCCACACUGGCACUGGAACACGGGCCAGACUCUACGGGAGGCAGCAGUGAGGAAUUUUGCGCAAUGGGAGCAAUCCUGACGCAGCAACGCCGCGUGGGUGAUGAAGGCUUCGGGUCGUAAAGCCCUGUCAGGUGGGAAGAAAGGCUUGGUGAUGAAUAAGCAUCAGGUUUGACGGUACCACCAGAGGAAGCACCGGCUAACUCCGUGCCAGCAGCCGCGGUAAUACGGAGGGUGCGAGCGUUAUUCGGAAUUACUGGGCGUAAAGCGCGUGUAGGCGGGGAUGCAAGUCUGAUGUGAAAGCCCCGGGCUUAACCUGGGAAGUGCAUUGGAAACUGCAUUUCUUGAGUGCUGGAGAGGAAGGGGGAAUUCCCGGUGUAGAGGUGAAAUUCGUAGAGAUCGGGAGGAAUACCAGUGGCGAAGGCGCCCUUCUGGACGGCAACUGACGCUGAGACGCGAAAGCGUGGGGAGCAAACAGGAUUAGAUACCCUGGUAGUCCACGCUGUAAACGAUGAUCACUAGGUGUAGCGGGUAAUCAUUCCUGCUGUGCCGCAGCUAACGCGUUAAGUGAUCCGCCUGGGGAUUACGGUCG